UACGAAGGGGGCUAGCGUUGCUCGGAAUUACUGGGCGUAAAGCGCACGUAGGCGGCUUCUUAAGUCGGUGGUGAAAUCCUGGAGCUCAACUCCAGAACUGCCUUCGAUACUGGGAAGCUCGAGUCCGGGAGAGGUGAGUGGAAUUCCGAGUGUAGAGGUGAAAUUCGUAGAUAUUCGGAGGAACACCAGUGGCGAAGGCGGCUCACUGGUCCGGUACUGACGCUGAGGUGCGAAAGCGUGGGGAGCAAACAGG
rnacentral:rRNA from 1 species